UGUGAUCCUGGCUCAGAUUGAACGCUGGCGGCAUGCCUUACACAUGCAAGUCGAACGGCAGCACGGGGGCAACCCUGGUGGCGAGUGGCGAACGGGUGAGUAAUACAUCGGAACGUGUCCUGUAGUGGGGGAUAGCCCGGCGAAAGCCGGAUUAAUACCGCAUACGCUCUACGGAGGAAAGGGGGGGAUCUUAGGACCUCCCGCUACAGGGGCGGCCGAUGGCAGAUUAGCUAGUUGGUGGGGUAAAGGCCUACCAAGGCGACGAUCUGUAGCUGGUCUGAGAGGACGACCAGCCACACUGGGACUGAGACACGGCCCAGACUCCUACGGGAGGCAGCAGUGGGGAAUUUUGGACAAUGGGCGAAAGCCUGAUCCAGCAAUGCCGCGUGUGUGAAGAAGGCCUUCGGGUUGUAAAGCACUUUUGUCCGGAAAGAAAACCUCCGCCCUAAUAUGGUGGGGGGAUGACGGUACCGGAAGAAUAAGCACCGGCUACUAC
rnacentral:rRNA from 1 species